rnacentral:piRNA from 1 species
UGAGCUGGGGCCCAGGGAUCAGUUGC